UGGUCAAGCUAUCAGUAUUCCAUGGUGAGGCACCUUAUAAUUGCAGGAACCCAUAGUGGAUGCACUGGACCAGAAAUGAAGAUUCUUCCUUGAGUGCCAGCCUAGGAGGGCAUCUUGGUCGUAGGAGCCAGGAGACCCUUGUUGCUAUGGGGCAGAGACCCAG